rnacentral:rRNA from 1 species
ACACGGACCAAGGAGUCUAACAUGUAUGCGAGUCGGCGGGUGGAAAACCCGUAGGCGCAAGUAACCUAACAGGUGGGAUUUUUGCACCAUCGACCAACCUUGAUCUUCUGUGAAGGGUUUGAGUACGAGCAUACCUGUUGGGACCCGAAAGAUGGUGAACUAUGCCUGAGCAGGGUGAAGCCAGAGGAAACUCUGGUGGAGGCUCGUAGAUGUGCUGACGUGCAAAUCGCUUUUCGGACUUGGGUAUAGGGGCGAAAGACUAAUCGAACCAUCUAGUAGCUGGUUCCCCCCGAAGUUUCCCUCAGGAUAGCUGGAGCUUUUUAGUUUUAUCGGGUAAAGCGAAUGAUUAGUGGCCUCGGGGAUGUAACAUCCUCGACCAAUUCUCAAACUUUAAAUAGGUAAGAGUCGCGGUUGCCUAAUCGAACCGUGGCGUUAAAUACAAGCUCCAAGUGGGCCAUUUUUGGUAAGCAGA